UACGGAGGGGGCAAGCGUUGUUCGGAAUUACCGGGCGUAAAGGGCGUGUCGGCUGCCUUUCAAGUUGGGGGUGAAAUCCCAGGGCUCAACCCUGGAAUUGCCUUCAAGACUGUGAGGCUUGGAUCCGAGAGAGGAGUGUGGAAUACCCAGUGUAGAGGUGAAAUUCGUAGAUAUUGGGUAGAACACCAGUGGCGAAGGCGGCACUCUGGCUCGGUAUCGACGCUGAGGCGCGAAAGCGUGGGGAGCAAAUAGG
rnacentral:rRNA from 1 species